CGGAGGAAAAGAAACCAACAGGGAUUGCCUUAGUAGCGGCGAGUGAAGCGGCAAAAGCUCAAAUUUGAAAUCUGGCGCCUUCGGUGUCCGAGUUGUAAUUUGAAGAUUGUAACCUUGGGGUUGGCUCUUGUCUAUGUUUCUUGGAACAGGACGUCACAGAGGGUGAGAAUCCCGUGCGAUGAGAUGCCCAAUUCUAUGUAAGGUGCUUUCGAAGAGUCGAGUUGUUUGGGAAUGCAGCUCUAAGUGGGUGGUAAAUUCCAUCUAAAGCUAAAUAUUGGCGAGAGACCGAUAGCGAACAAGUACAGUGAUGGAAAGAUGAAAAGAACUUUGAAAAGAGAGUGAAAAAGUACGUGAAAUUGUUGAAAGGGAAGGGUUUGAGAUCAGACUCGAUAUUUUGUGAGCCUUGCCUUCGUGGCGGGGUGACCCGCAGCUUAUCGGGCCAGCAUCGGUUUGGGCGGUAGGAUAAUGGCGUAGGAAUGUGACUUUACUUCGGUGAAGUGUUAUAGCCUGCGUUGAUGCUGCCUGCCUAGACCGAGGACUGCGAUUUUAUCAAGGAUGCUGGCAUAAUGAUCCCAAACCGCC
rnacentral:rRNA from 1 species